rnacentral:rRNA from 1 species
UACGUAGGGACCAAGCGUUGUUCGGAUUUACUGGGCGUAAAGGGCGCGUAGGCGGCUUGACAAGUCACUUGUGAAAUCUCCGGGCUUAACUCGGAACUGCCAAGUGAAACUGUCACGCUAGAGUGCAGAAGGGGCAACUGGAAUUCUCGGUGUAGCGGUGAAAUGCGUAGAUAUCGAGAGGAACACCUGCGGCGAAGGCGGGUUGCUGGGCUGACACUGACGCUGAGGCGCGAAAGCUAGGGGAGCGAACGGG